GACGAACGCUGGCGGCGUGCUUAACACAUGCAAGUCGAACGAUGAAGAAAAGAAUUGAAGCUUCGGCAGAAAUUCAUUUCGGAUUAGUGGCAGACGGGUGAGUAACGCGUGAGCAACCUACCUCUUACAAAGGGAUAGCCUCGGGAAACCGGGAUUAAUACCAUAUAACAUUGCGACGAAGCAUUUCGAUGCAAUCAAAGCUACGGCGGUAAGAGAUGGGCUCGCGUCCCAUUAACCAGAUGGUGAGGUAACGGCUCACCAUAGUAACGAUGGGUAACCGGCCUGAGAGGGUGAACGGUCACACUGGAACUGAGACACGGUCAAGACUCCUACGGGAGGCAGCAGUGGGGAAUAUUGCACAAUGGAGGGAACUCUGAUGCAGCGACGCCGCGUGAGUGAUGAAGGAAUUCGUUUCGUAAAACUCUGUUCUAUGGGAAGAAAAGGACUGUACCAUAGGAGAAAGCGCCGGCUAAAUACGUG
rnacentral:rRNA from 1 species